rnacentral:misc_RNA from 1 species
GAUGAAGAACGUAGCGAAAUGCGAUACUUGGUGUGAAUUGCAGAAUCCCGUGAACCAUCGAGUCUUUGAACGCAAGUUGCGCUUCAAGCCAUUAGGUUGAGGGCACGUCUGCCUGGGCGUCACAUAUCGUUGCCUGAUGCCAGUUUCCUCGUGAUGGGUGACUGUGCAGGCCGAAUGAUGGCUUCCCGUGAGCAUUGUUGCCUCAUGGUUGGUUGAAAAUUGAGUCCUUGGUAGGGAGCGCCGUGAUAGAUGGUGGUUGAGUGACGAACGAGACCCAAUCAUGUGAGACCCCUACCGAAUUUGGCCUUCAUGACCCACAUGCGUCUUUGGAACGCUCAUGACGAGACCUCAGGUCAGGCGGGGCUACCCGCUGAGUUUAAGCAUAUCAAUAAGCGGAGGA